rnacentral:antisense_RNA from 1 species
AAUAACCAAAUAUAACACUAGGGCUAAGAGUUAAGUUGAAAAAUUUUCUUAUAUCUCCCCCCUGGAGCCCAGGUAUCAUAUAUGUCGUUCCCAAUAUAAAAAGCCUUGGAUACUAGAAGAAAAACACAUAUACCUAACAGAUUAAGUGAAUAUCCAAAAUUGUUGUCAUUUUAUUUUGAUCUUUCCA